AACGAACGCUGGCGGCAUGCCUAACACAUGCAAGUCGAACGAGACCUUCGGGUUUAGUGGCGCACGGGUGCGUAACGCGUGGGAACCUGCCCUUAGGUUCGGAAUAACUCCCCGAAAGGGGUGCUAAUACCGGAUAAUGUCUUCGGACCAAAGAUUUAUCGCCUUUGGAUGGGCCUGCGUUGGAUUAGCUAGAUGGUAGGGUAAAAGCCUACCAAGGCGACGAUCCAUAGCUGGUCUGAGAGGAUGAUCAGCCACACUGGGACUGAGACACGGCCCAGACUCCUACGGGAGGCAGCAGUGGGGAAUAUUGGACAAUGGGCGAAAGCCUGAUCCAGCAAUGCCGCGUGAGUGAUGAAGGCCUUAGGGUUGUAAAGCUCUUUUACCCGGGAUGAUAAUGACAGUACCGGGAGAAUAAGCUCCGGCUAACUCCGUG
rnacentral:rRNA from 1 species